UCCGCGCCGGCCCCGGCUAUAAAUAGCGCGGGGCGCAUGGCUCUUCGGGAGGCGCAGGGAGUCCGGGCCCGGCGGCCGCGGGGAGCGGGUGCUUGCUAGGAGCCGGGCUGCCGGCCUCCUCGCUCUGCCUUUUGGGGGUUCUUUUUGUAAUAGCAGCAGGUGCAACUUUUUGUAUUUUUAAAAAACAUUGACGUUCACGUUCGUGUGGGUAGGUCGGGGGGCGUUAUCCACGGAGCUGCGCUCUAUCCGGGCGCCAGGCGGGCGAAGCCCAGGCAGGGAUGGCGGGCGGGGCGGCGGCGGAGGUGGCGGCGGCGGAGGUGGAAUGGGCGCUUUUCUCUCCCAUCUGGCUCCAUUUAUUUAUUUAUUUAUUUAGACUAGAAAAAGCGAGCCGGCUUGGAGGGAGUCCGCCCAGCGAUCCGAGUGCGCAUUGAUCAGUGUCGAGAGAAAAAAAAGCUACAUAAAUAUAUAUUAUGUGGAUAAAUCUGCAGACAAGAGCUCUCUCGUGCGCGCGUCCGUUCCCCGUUUCUCUCCCUCUGCCUCUUCCCUCCCCGCGUCCCCAACCUGCCAGAGCGGCUGCAAACCUUCCUCCCGCCCGGCGGCCACCGCCACCCGGUCCAGGCGCGCGGGGGAGUGGAGAUCCGGGGUCCGAGCCCCGCUCCACCAGCCUCUGAAGGCGGGAGGUGGGUGUUUCCGUCCCGGACGGCCUCUCCCGCCCCGGGGAGCGGCGGCUGGCCCGGCCCGCGGCUGGCGGGAGGAAGGUAGGAGCCGGGCUCUCUGGCCCGCUCGCCCGCCGGGGAGGGAGGAGGGCGCGGCGCGGUGGCCGGCGAGCCAGCGCUGGGCACGGGCUCGAUUUUGCCCUCGACCGCUUUGCCGGUUCAGAUAGAUUUUUCUCCCCCCUUAAUCCACCAUCAAAGAAAUAAAGCCCCGGACUCGCUAACCGGGCUGCGGUGGUUCCCAGACUCGCGCGGUGUGCGCUGUCCCUUUGGGUUGCGUUUGCUACACCUCCCGCUCCAGAGGUGCGAGGCAGGGAGUCGCGUCUGCGGGCGGGAGCCGGGAUCCAGACCCCAGGCCGGACCCCGCCGGACUCCCUGCCGGGCCAGCCCAGGGGCUGCAACCUCAACUGCGUGGCGGCCGAAGAAGUGGCGGGCGCGGGGGCCGGUUGCAGCCGCCCCGCCUCUGGGGGCGAAUUCUGCUGGCGAACUUGGCUGGGCGGCAGAUUUUUGUUUUGAUGGCAUUUAUCUGCACCCCAUCCCCUUCCACAUUUGUUUUCCCAGGACAGCCUCUUCUGGGCUUCAGGAGCCGGGUAAAUUGAAAUAACACGCCCGCUCCCCCGCGGGUUCUGGAGCUGGGAGCCUGGGCAGCCAAGGAAGGUGCCGGCCUCUCUCCCGCCGGCUGGGCUGGCCGCUUUCGGGUGUUCGGGGCUUCUUUUUCCUUGUCCUCGGAUUGCAUUACGUUCUUAGACGAUCUGUUUAAAAUUGUAUUUAAAGAAAUGAGACCCCGGCUGCCUGAAGCCCCAGGCCGAGCCCGGAUGGUGCAGCCACAGCGCGGAGCUCUCCAGCGCCGAAGGAGGCCAGAGGCCGGGAGUUUCCUCGCCCCAAGCCCGAGCCCGCUCGGGACGCCUUUCCCUGAGGAUCGGGGCCCAAAGCAAGCAGCAAGUACUGAGAACUGUUGAACUUCACCUUUUCUGUUUAGAUUCUCGGGCCUUUGCUGGAUGGAGUCCUGUGUGGAAUCCAGUUUGUGGGACAAAGGAAGACAUGGAGGAGAAGAAGCUAAAUGGCCCUUCAGAGAUGGAAUCCUCAGCCUUGGUAGACUCUUACCCUUCCACAGGCAUUACCGGCUUCAGUUCACCUGAUUUCAGUAGAAACUGAACACAUCCUGGAGAGACAGGAUAGGACUGUGAGGAAAGAGAAUCCCUGAUCUUCAUCUGUGAGACGAGGCAGAAACUCUUUGAAAACACAAAGUUCCCCUUGAGACAAACUGGGACCGACCUGCGAGAAGGGGAGUUUGCCGAGGUAGCCCCGCCAACACCAUCUCCUGGUGGUCUCAAGGCUGUGGUCCUGGACAUAGAGAACUACUGAAGGGAUGCCUGCCCAGGGGCCCUGUCUGGGAGAGCCAUUUGCCCCAGAGCCUGGAGACUGCCAGACUUCUGUGGAUAACCUGGAGGACAGGGCAUAGGCCUCCUCCUUUCAUGAGGAAGCUGAAUGAGAGUGAAGCUGUGGCAUUCUCAGCAAGAAGGCCCUGACAAGAUACUGCUCCCUUGAUAUUGGACUUCCCAGCCUCCAUAACUGUGAGAAAUACAUUUUUUUCACUUUUGCAAUUACCCAGUCUGUGGCAUUCUGUUACAGCAACAGAAAAUGCACUCUAACAGCCUCCCCUGGAGUAAUACUGGAGACACUCAGGGAUGCUUAUCCAAGAUUACUCACUGCAAGCACAAGCUGGGCAUACCUCUUUGUUUGUUUGUUGGAAGGCUUUGGUGCAAUAAGAAAGGAAAUAAUAGGCCGGUGCCACGGCUCAAUAGGCUAAUCCUCUGCCUUGCGGCGCCAGCACACCGGGUUCUAGUCCCGGUCGGGGCAUCGGAUUCUGUCCCGGUUGCCCCUCUUCCAGGCCAGCUCUCUGCUGUGGCCAGGGAGUGCAGUGGAGGAUGGCCCAAGUGUUUGGGCCCUGCACCCCAUGGGAGACCAGGAGAAGCACCUGGCUCCUGCCAUUGGAUCAGCGCGGUGCGCCGGCCGCUGCGGCCAUUGGAGGGUAAACCAAUGGCAAAAGGAAGACCUUUCUCUCUGUCUCUCUCUCUCACUGUCCACUCUGCCUGUAAAAAAAAAAAAAGAAAAAGAAAAAAAAAAAAAGAAAGGAAAUAGUAGCCAAUACUUUCAAGCAGGCAUCUCUGUAAGCGGUAGACCUUCUUUAAAUCCUUUUCUGGGGCUGGCACUGUGGCGCAUGCGUUAAUGCCCUGGCCUCAAGUGCCAGCAUCCCAUAUGGGCGCCGGUUUGAGUCCUGGCUGCUCUUCUUCUGAUCCAGCUCUCUGCUGUGGCCUGGGAAAGCAGUGGAAGAUGACCCAAGUCUUGGGUCCCUGCACCGACGUGGGAGACCCAGAAGAAGCUCCUGGCUCCUGGCUUUGGAUCAGCACAGCUACCGCCAUUGUGGCCAAUUGGGGAGUGAACCAGCAGAUGGAAGACCUCUCUCUCUCUCUCUCUUUCCCUCUUCCUCUCCCUCUCCCUCUCCUCUCUCUGUGUAACUCUGAAUUUCAAAUAAAUAAAUAAAUCUUAAAAAAAAUCCUUUUUCUUUUAAGUGACCCAUGCCCAAAUUCUCCCUUAGUAAACAUUAAAUGAAAUAAACCAAACCAGCACACAGAACAUAACUUCCACAAGAAAUUGAACCAAAAGUCUAAAUGAUAUAAAAUGACUUUGUUUUCCAUGUCUGUGGCAUUAGCAUUUAAAAGAUGUUUUUAUUUACUUAUUAUCUGAGAGGUAGAGUGAUAGAGAGUGACAGUAAGAGUGAGAGACAGUUACUUUCCAUUGGUUUACUCCCCAAAUGUCUGCAAUAUCUAGGGCUGGAUUAGGGCCAAAGCCAAGAGCAAGGAACAGAAACCACAACUCCCAUGUGAGUGACAACUGUCACUACUGCCUCUCAGGUGUACAUUAGCAUGAAUUUGGAAUCAGGGUUUUGAGCUUGGAAUCAAGGCUAAAUGCCACCAGGCUAAAUGCCCAUCCCAUGGCACUGGUAUUUGAACAGAAGUCUUGAAUAAUACGGCAAGAAUACCCUGGAUACUUGAAUUUUAGGUAUGGCCCACAAGCUGGGGGAGGGGGGUUGUGGAUUAUUUUGGGCAAGCUGGCUUUUUUCAACUCUUUGAAUAAGUCGCCAUUUCAUAUAAGCAAUAAUUUCCCUUAUAAUUGCCCUUGUUCCAUAUUAAGCCCCCCUUCCCCAUCUCCACCAUUUUACCAAGAAUGAAUUCAAGGGGCUGGCUAGUUUACAUGACUUGUAUCACUUAUCUUCACUGAUGCACUAGAAGGGGGGCGGGGUGGGAGGAUGCUGGGAUCCAGUUCUGCAGAGUCAAUCUCACUUAAUUUUCAGAGAUGAAAGUUUCCUUAGCUCUUUCCUGUGGCACCAGCCUUUGAUCCUGGAGCAGAGGGAGACUUGGAGAGUGUUUAUGAUCCCUGGUCUCUAGAGGAGGUGGAGGAGCAAACUGGGAAGCAGAAGUGAGAGAUGGCUGAGGAGUUUAGGGUUAAGGAGUGUGUACUUUGGCUAAGGGUGACAUAACAAAUCCCACAUACCAGGUGACUUAAGCAACAUAAACUCACUUCUCACAGUUCUAGAACCUGGAAGUGCAAGCUGAGGAUGUCGGUAGGAUUCAUUUAUUUUUUUGUAAGAAAAAGAUUUAUUUAUUUGAAAGGGAGAGAGAGAGGAGAAGAGAGAAGAGAGAAGAGAGAAGAGAGAAGAGAGAAGGUCAUCCAUCUGCUGGUUCACUUCUGAAAUGGCCUGGAAUGGGCCAGGUUGAAGCCAGGAGCCAGGAACUGCACCCAGGUCUUUCACAUGAGUGGCAGGGGCCUAUAUACAUGGGCCACCUUUUGUUGCCUUCCCAGAUGCAUUGUCAGGAAGCUGGAUCAGAAGCUGAGCAACUGGGACUCAAACUUGUGCUUUGAUAUGGGAUGCUGGUGUUACAAGAAGCGGCUUAACCUGCUGUGCAUAGCUUGAGCUCCUGGUUUGCUCUUUAUAAGUGCUUGCUAUGCUGGGCUGUGCUAAGUGUCUGGAAUAUGAAGGAAGAGUAAGUCUAGGUUCUUUCCUCUGGAUGUUUGUAACCGAUCAGAGCUUCUGGAGGUCACCUGACACCUCUGGUGCCCUAUUUGAGCUACAGUAUUAGCAGUACUGUAAGAGUGACUUGGGAGUACCCAGUAGGGGGGCACUGAUGCUCUUCCUGGAGCAGUCAUCCAAGGGUGGUCUGGUAUAAAUUCCCUGACCCUUCUGAGCACUCUGUCCAAGGGUGUGAGCAUCGUCUUGAAGCAGCAGGUGCUUCUCCUCACCUGCACAAUCUUGUCUGUCCUAAAUACUCCUUAUUAUACUCUGGGUGGCUGGGAAGAGGGUUGGAUGGUGAAUAAAGCAGCAAAACAAAGGUGGGGGGUAGGACAUUGUGAUGGCUAAUUCUAGACAUCAGCUUCAUAGGAUGAGGGAUGUCCAGAUUGGUGUUAAAACAUUGUUGUGUGACAUGGAAGGGUGUCGCUGGAAGAGAUUAAUCAUUUGAAUCAGUGGAUGGAGUAAAGACUAUCCUCACCAAUGUGGAUGUCCGUUACCCAACCUUUGAGGACUGGACAGAGGACUGCACAGUACAGAGCGAGGGAGAAUUCAUUCUUUCUGUUGGAAUUGGGACAUUCGCCUUUGUAGGCUCUUAGGUAUUAAAAUUCCAGGUUCUUGGGUUUUUACACUCCAGAACUUGUAUUGUUUCCACUCUCACCUAAAAGCCCCACCCCCACACCCAUUUCUCAGGUCUUUGACCUUGAAUUGAGAUUUACAACAUUGGCUUCUAUGAUUUUCAAGACUUUUGGGUAUAGGUUGAAUUACAACACUGGCCUCUAUAGUUUGCCACCUUGCAGAUGGUAUAUUGUGGAACUUCUCAACCUCCAUAAUCAUGUAAACCAGUUCUCAUAGUAAACCUCUCUCUCUUUACAUAUAUAGUGAAAGCAGCAAAUAUAUAUAUAUUAUAUACAUAAAUAAUAUAUCUAAUAUAUUUAUAAUGUAUAUAUUCCAUUGAUUCUGCUUCCCAGGAGAGCCUUGAAUAGUACAGACAUUGUGUGAGAGUUCAGUUUGGAUUGUCUAUCUGUUACUCAACCUUCUUUUCCAGGAGGUCUUCUUCCCUACAUCAUCACCAAAAUUGGGCCUUUGGAGCUCUCUGAUUCCACCCUUGCCUCAAUGAGGCUCCAGAACAUAACACUGGCCCAUUAAGGGGGAAUGAUGUCAGAGUUAAUGCGUCAUUUUCCAGGAGAAACUUGAUCUCUCUGUCUUAUCUCUGGCGGUAGAAGAGAAAACCAACACUAAAAGGCAAGCUGUAGCGGCAUGCACAAGGUCCUCCUGAAGCUUCUGAAACUGGACCUAGGUGGAGAGAUGCGUAGGAGCCCUGUGCCUCCAAUGUGGUUAUAGGGCACUAUCAGGGGGUGUUUCUUUGUGACCACUGUCCCUCUGUGCAUGCCGACCAAAGAAGACUGCCCAGGGCGUCUAUGACCACUAACCUCCAACACUCUGACUAUGCCUCCCACAGAGCCCUGAAUUGGGCCACACAGAGGACCCUGGUGAAAUAGAAGUGAAGGUCCCAGUCUGGAAGCAGCCUCCAGGUUAAGUGGAUUGCCAGGCACACCAUCACCAGGUGUCUCAAGUCUAGGGGAAGACAGAUAAUAUGCGCUCUAGGGAGCCCCAGGCCUUCUGGCCUAAUUUGAGAAAUGUGGUUUCUGCCAAGGGCCGGUAUUUAGGACACACAUACAUAUUUAAAAGGCCCAAGAACAGACACAAAUAAGACAUUAACAUGUGCAAAUUGUUACAACUGAAUACUGAAGCCAGGAGACAGGAUGGAGGGGUGGAGUCAGUCCCUCAGCCCCCAGCUACCUUGGGUGGCGACGGGGUAACAGGCACUCUGGGCAGCAGCAGGUGCAUCACAGGUGUUCUUUAUUAGGAAGCUCCGUGCCCUCUUUUACUGAAAGCAGACUGGGAGUGAGUAGUACACACCUGGGCCCAGGCAUGGAUGCACAAAAAUGAUCAAGGGACAAUACAAGGUUCAUGAAAAUAAUUCAACUAAAAGAUAAGCUUAUUUUGGUGCAAAAAAUUGAAAUCCAUGCAUAAUAUACCUUUUUCAUGAACUUUAUUGAGAUCUCCAAUAUGCAUAUGAUUUCAAA